UACGUAGGGUGCGAGCGUUAAUCGGAAUUACUGGGCGUAAAGCGUGCGCAGGCGGCGCGUUAAGACAGGUGUGAAAGCCCCGAGCUUAACUUGGGAAUUUGCGCUUGUGACUGGCGUGCUGGAGUGUGGCAGAGGGGAGGUGGAAUUCCACGUGUAGCAGUGAAAAUGCGUAGAGAUGUGGAGGAACACCGAUGGCGAAGGCAGCCUCCUGGGCCAAGAUUGACGCUCAUGCACGAAAGCGUGGGGAGCAAACAGGA
rnacentral:rRNA from 1 species